GACGAACGCUGGCGGCGUGCCUAAUACAUGCAAGUUGAGCGAUGAAGCUUGGUGCUUGCACCAAUUUGAAGAGCAGCGAACGGGUGAGUAACGCGUGGGGAAUCUGCCUUUGAGCGGGGGACAACAUUUGGAAACGAAUGCUAAUACCGCAUAACAACUUUAAACAUAAGUUUUAAGUUUGAAAGAUGCAAUUGCAUCACUCAAAGAUGAUCCCGCGUUGUAUUAGCUAGUUGGUGAGGUAAAGGCUCACCAAGGCGAUGAUACAUAGCCGACCUGAGAGGGUGAUCGGCCACAUUGGGACUGAGACACGGCCCAAACUCCUACGGGAGGCAGCAGUAGGGAAUCUUCGGCAAUGGACGAAAGUCUGACCGAGCAACGCCGCGUGAGUGAAGAAGGGUGUCGGAUCGUAAAACUCGGUUGGUAGAGAAGAACGUUGGUGAGAGUGGAAAGCUCAUCAAGUGACGGUAACUACCCAGAAAGGGACGGCUAACUACGUG
rnacentral:rRNA from 1 species